GUGGUUGUGGCUCAGUGGUAGAGCGCUUGCAUGGCAUGCAUGAGGCACUGGGUUUGAUCCUCAGCACCACA
rnacentral:tRNA from 1 species